rnacentral:rRNA from 1 species
UACGUAGGGUGCAAGCGUUGUCCGGAAUUAUUGGGCGUAAAGAGCUUGUAGGCGGUUUGUCGCGUCUGCUGUGAAAUUUCGGGGUUCAACCCCGAACUUGCAGUGGGUACGGGCAGACUAGAGUGUGGUAGGGGAGACUGGAAUUCCUGGUGUAGCGGUGAAAUGCGCAGAUAUCAGGAGGAACACCGAUGGCGAAGGCAGGUCUCUGGGCCAUAACUGACGCUGAGAAGCGAAAGCAUGGGGAGCGAACAGG